rnacentral:lncRNA from 1 species
UGCGUGCACGCUGCCAUGAUCCUUCAUUAUGCGGAUGUUUGUGGGCUAGGAGACAGUGACAAAUUUGCUUCUUUCGUAUUAGUUAAAAUAUCUUUUUGGUUUUAUAUUAUAUAUACACGUUUACUUUGAAAAUGUCGAUAGUCUGUGCGUUUACCUGAAAGCAGUAUCUGUAAAAUAACUGACGUUGGCUGCUCACGGCCUCUCCCUCGUGGUCGUAAUUUUAUUUAGUUAAGCAUUUUUAUCGAAUAUGACUUGAUAAUUUUUUAGUAAGCUUUUGAAAAUGCUUGCUGCUUAUAAAUAUUGUUGUGUAGAGAACCAAAGUCCAAGAAACGGUGCGAAAGGGCAAACGCAGAUUUCUUGUUGGAUGGCAGGCCGUUGACGCCAACUGUUGACAACCAUUAUGUUGGAUGAGAGAAAUUGAGGCUGGUAGACGAUGCCAACAGUUGACGACCAAUUGGUUGGAUGGAAGAAAUUGAGGCCAGUAGAUGAUGCCAACAGUUGACGAUCAGUUGGUUGGAUCAAAGAAACUGAGGCUGGUAGUCGAUGUCAACAGUUGACAAUAAAAUGGUUAGAUGAGUGAAAUCAGUUGCCUUGUAGCAGAUGCCAUCUUUCAGCAAAAAAAAGAGUUUGGAUGAGAAAAACAGAGGCUGCCAGGUAGCUGAUGCCAACAAUAGGCGACCAAUGGUUUGGAUCAAACUGAAGCUGCUAGAUAGCUGAUGCCAACAAUACACAGCCAAUAGGUUGAAUGGAACAAAAGCCUGCUGGCUGAUUCUAAGUUGACAUCCAAUGGGUUUUCAACUACAGGGUUCGAAGCCAACAUGGAUGUCUUGGAUUCAUGAAUCUGCUUAA